UACGGAGGGUGCAAGCGUUAUCCGGAUUCACUGGGUUUAAAGGGUGCGUAGGAGGGCAGGUAAGUCAGUGGUGAAAUCUUCGAGCUUAACUCGGAAACUGCCGUUGAUACUAUCUGUCUUGAAUACCGUGGAGGUGAGCGGAAUAUGUCAUGUAGCGGUGAAAUGCUUAGAUAUGACAUAGAACACCAAUUGCGAAGGCAGCUCGUUACACGAAUAUUGACUCUGAGGCACGAAAGCGUGGGGAUCAAACAGG
rnacentral:rRNA from 1 species